ACUUGGUGAUGUGGACAUUUACGCAAGAGGUCCCUAAAGCACUCCUAUGUCUCGAAAAAUUGUUCACCAUCUAUUUGGUAGAAACUGGUGAUUGCCUUCCUAAACU